rnacentral:rRNA from 1 species
UGGGGGGGCGGGCGGGGUGCCCUAUACAUGCAAGUCGAACGAACUCUGGUAUUGAUUGGUGCUUGCAUCAUGAUUUACAUUUGAGUGAGUGGCGAACUGGUGAGUAACACGUGGGAAACCUGCCCAGAAGCGGGGGAUAACACCUGGAAACAGAUGCUAAUACCGCAUAACAACUUGGACCGCAUGGUCCGAGUUUGAAAGAUGGCUUCGGCUAUCACUUUUGGAUGGUCCCGCGGCGUAUUAGCUAGAUGGUGGGGUAACGGCUCACCAUGGCAAUGAUACGUAGCCGACCUGAGAGGGUAAUCGGCCACAUUGGGACUGAGACACGGCCCAAACUCCUACGGGAGGCAGCAGUAGGGAAUCUUCCACAAUGGACGAAAGUCUGAUGGAGCAACGCCGCGUGAGUGAAGAAGGGUUUCGGCUCGUAAAACUCUGUUGUUAAAGAAGAACAUAUCUGAGAGUAACUGUUCAGGUAUUGACGGUAUUUAACCAGAAAGCCACGGCUAACUACGUGCCAGCAGCCGCGGUAAUACGUAGGUGGCAAGCGUUGUCCGGAUUUAUUGGGCGUAAAGCGAGCGCAGGCGGUUUUUUAAGUCUGAUGUGAAAGCCUUCGGCUCAACCGAAGAAGUGCAUCGGAAACUGGGAAACUUGAGUGCAGAAGAGGACAGUGGAACUCCAUGUGUAGCGGUGAAAUGCGUAGAUAUAUGGAAGAACACCAGUGGCGAAGGCGGCUGUCUGGUCUGUAACUGACGCUGAGGCUCGAAAGUAUGGGUAGCAAACAGGAUUAGAUACCCUGGUAGUCCAUACCGUAAACGAUGAAUGCUAAGUGUUGGAGGGUUUCCGCCCUUCAGUGCUGCAGCUAACGCAUUAAGCAUUCCGCCUGGGGAGUACGGCCGCAAGGCUGAAACUCAAAGGAAUUGACGGGGGCCCGCACAAGCGGUGGAGCAUGUGGUUUAAUUCGAAGCUACGCGAAGAACCUUACCAGGUCUUGACAUACUAUGCAAAUCUAAGAGAUUAGACGUUCCCUUCGGGGACAUGGAUACAGGUGGUGCAUGGUUGUCGUCAGCUCGUGUCGUGAGAUGUUGGGUUAAGUCCCGCAACGAGCGCAACCCUUAUUAUCAGUUGCCAGCAUUAAGUUGGGCACUCUGGUGAGACUGCCGGUGACAAACCGGAGGAAGGUGGGGAUGACGUCAAAUCAUCAUGCCCCUUAUGACCUGGGCUACACACGUGCUACAAUGGAUGGUACAACGAGUUGCGAACUCGCGAGAGUAAGCUAAUCUCUUAAAGCCAUUCUCAGUUCGGAUUGUAGGCUGCAACUCGCCUACAUGAAGUCGGAAUCGCUAGUAAUCGCGGAUCAGCAUGCCGCGGUGAAUACGUUCCCGGGCCUUGUACACACCGCCCGUCACACCAUGAGAGUUUGUAACACCCAAAGUCGGUGGGGUAACCUUUUAGGAACCAGCCGCCUAAGGGGAACCAAAAG